UACGAAGGGGGCUAGCGUUGUUCGGAUUUACUGGGCGUAAAGCGCUCGUAGGCGGAUCGAUCCGUUAGGGGUGAAAUCCCAGAGCUCAACUCUGGAACUGCCUUUGAUACUGUCGAUCUGGAGUAUGGAAGAGGUGAGUGGAAUUCCGAGUGUAGAGGUGAAAUUCGUAGAUAUUCGGAGGAACACCAGUGGCGAAGGCGGCUCACUGGUCCAUUACUGACGCUGAGGUGCGAAAGCGUGGGGAGCAAACAGG
rnacentral:rRNA from 1 species